CGCUUCCCUUACGACCACCGAAGUUAAGCCACGUCGAGCGUGGUCAGUACUUAGAUGAUUGACCGCUUUGGAAUACCAACUACUG